UUUUUAGUGUUGUGUUGUCGCGCGGACCAUAGACUAAAAUUAUGAGAAAAAGACAUUCUAGCUUUUUCGAAAACAAUACUACGAACAAUAAUUUUGGCUUUAUUGGUUUUCGUGGUACAAGAAGUCAUUAAAUUAACAAUCGGGCACCAUAUUGUAACAAAGGAUAUUUCGAGGAUUAAUUGUAUUUGUGACGGAAAAGCAAUUUUUAUAAAGGUGUCUAUUACCAAACAAGGUAAUGCUGAUAUCAGAAGAUUAUAUUUAAAAAUGCAAGAUAGCCCAACCUAAAUUGAAAAAAAAAAAUACUUGGAAGAUUCAGAUAUAACUGCAAUAGACGAAAAAUCACAUCAUUAAUUGUUAUUUUUAUCCAAAGGCCUUUGUUAAAUAAAAUGAAACUCAUCAACUAAUUUUGUAAAGAAAAUCAAGUUCAACAGUAUUAACAACACAAGAACAGUGUUUUUCCCAAAUAGUAACUAUGGAGAAGUGCUAGUGUAAUAAUUUAGAUUUAGAAAAGCAAAAUGAGACAAUAUGAAGACCUAGAAGAAGAAGAACAUUAGACAUGUUGAUGACAAAAAUAUGUUACACAUCAAAUUUUCUAUUAUUCAUUGUUUUAUCAUGUUAAUAAAGAAUUUUUAUUUA